rnacentral:rRNA from 1 species
AGUGAACGCUGGCGGUAGGCCUAACACAUGCAAGUCGAACGGCAGCACAGUAAGAGCUUGCUCUUACGGGUGGCGAGUGGCGGACGGGUGAGGAAUACAUCGGAAUCUACUUUUUCGUGGGGGAUAACGUAGGGAAACUUACGCUAAUACCGCAUACGACCUACGGUUGAAAGCAGGGGAUCUUCGGACCUUGCGCGAUUGAAUGAGCCGAUGUCGGAUUAGCUAGUUGGCGGGGUAAAGGCCCACCAAGGCGACGAUCCGUAGCUGGUCUGAGAGGAUGAUCAGCCACACUGGAACUGAGACACGGUCCAGAAUCCUACGGGAGGCAGCAGUGGGGAAUAUUGGACAAUGGGCGCAAGCCUGAUCCAGCAAUACCGCGUGGGUGAAGAAGGCCUUCGGGUUGUAAAGCCCUUUUGUUGGGAAAGAAAAGCAGCAGGUUAAUACCCCGCUGUUCUGACGGUACCCAAAGAAUAAGCACCGGCUAACUUCGUG